GAGGCGAGGGAUCGCAGCUGAGCGAGGCGGGCACCCACUCCCCAGCGUAUGCCGCUGGAGCGCGCUGAGCGUGUGCCGGGGGCUGGGCCUAAGUUCUCCCCAACCCUUGCCAGCCGAGUUGGAUAAGAGGGGGUCGGGAGAAAAUAGAGCCCUGAUCCCCCCUCCUCCCUAGGGCCCAGAGAAUCGGUGUGCAUGCGUGUGUGCGCGCACGCGCGUGUGUGUGACGGGUGGUGGUCGGGGAAUGUCUCAAGCUAGAAGUCCCAGGUUUUAGGGGUUUAAGUGGAGCUGGGAGACCCGCUUUCCUCCCACACCAGGCGCAGACGCCGAGGCACAGCUCCGCCAGCCGCCCCGCCUUUACCUGGCGGGAUACUCACCUCUCCUCCUUCCUGGGGAGGCCACCGCCUCCCUCUCCCCCUUCUGCCCUGGGCUGGUUCCCAGCGAGGUGAGUGACCGGCACAAGUAGGGAAGGAGGAAGCGAGUUUUUAAAAACUGAGUCAGCUCACGCCCUCGGCCAGGGUCCCCACCCGAUGCGUGGUCCCCAGGGCGCCCUCGGGAUCGCACGCCCGAGUCCCGGCCCAGGUGGGGCCCAUUCCGGGUUCUUGCGCGCGGGCAAUGGAUGGGGGCGCGCUGCACCGGGAGCCUGCCCUGCUGAGGGCUCAUCCCCAGCUUUGCCGAGAACUUUCCCGGCGAGGCACCGGCUGGCGUUUUCCCAGCCUGCGAGUGGCAGGCGGGCAGCCAGUCUCUGCUCGGAUCCACGGAGGCCCGGAGCCGCCACGGAGUUCUGGCUCCGGGGAGUGCAAACCCGAAGUCGGCGCGGAAGCCUCUCACCCGCGGCUCUGCCUCCGCCCCUUGGAGAUCUGCCCUCGGAACUGCGUUGCUCUGGCGCCCGAACUAGGGUGGGCUGGUUUCAGCCAGACCGCCAAAAAACGUGGAUGCUAAACACAGAGGGAAGAGCCAGCUCCCAUUCCCUCUCUGAGCCUUAGAUUUUUUUGAAUUCCGAGAGAGGUCAGGCCGGGGUCCCCUUCUUGGGUGAGCGUCCAGCCCUUUGAAGUUCAAACACUGAGAAGCCGAUAGGCAGCUGGCUGGCGUCACAGGAUCGAGCCGAGGACUGAAGGCGCCUCCUACCGGGAAUCCACCGCCUCCAGACGAAAAUAGGCUGCAAUCAAGUUCACUUCCAAAGGCGGAAUUCAUGGGUACAUAUGGUGUCCACGUGUGUACACCUGCAGAGUUGUAACAUGCGGGCAUUUCUCCCCUCAGCCCGCCAUUCUGGCUUCUUAACUUGCACCCUAACAGCUCGACAGAACCUUGGCGUCCACAAAAAGGCAAUGGCUCUUCUUCCUUUAGGGGAAGCCUCAUCCAGCAGAAAAGCAGAGAUGCUUUUGAGUUUCAAGAACCAAUACUUUGGCAUUACAAGAGCCUGGGCUUUGAGUUUCAAAAGUAGAAGUCCCAGAGGCUUCUAGGAAUAAAAUUUGUGGCAUUAACAAGACAUCCUGAAGACUGAGCACGAUGCAAAAGUCAUUUCCCCAUGACCAAGAUGAGGUCAAGUGCCCUGGGCCAGGGGUCUGGACAGAGGAUCUAAGGAGAGUGGAUGAGCCAUGAUGAUGUGGGGCUAGGGAGGUGGGUGGUGCCCAAGCGGCAGUCCCACACUAGCUUCAUAAGUGUGGCUUUCAGGCAAGCUCAGGAGAGUGCCUGCUCCUCCCCUCCCAAGGCACAGAUGCAGUGGGGGAGGGAGUAAUUGGCAGAGGGGUGACGCAGCCUUGCAGAGGUUUACCAAGCUCUGCCAACAUCUCCCGUGUGCCCCAGAGGAGGGAGGAAGAAGCUGAGAGGAGGAGAAAGAGGCCAGGCACAGAGACUUCCAGGAGGCCUAGGCAGCUGCAUCUGCCAUCAGGAAGAUGGAAGUGAGGCCAACAUAGCAGAUGUCAGGGGACACCAGACACUGACCUCUGCCCAGGCCUUGGCACUUUCUGAGCCUCCUCUACCCCAAAAACAAAUCUAGACGCAACCCAGGGCAAGAGGUAGGGAGGCCCUGAUUAAUUAUGGCUAGAUGUCUUUCUACCAGCCAAAUGGGGACUUGAAAUAGAAAUUCAAUCUAAUUUUGAGAGUGGAAGUUGUGUUUCUUGCACCUCUAGGAUGUGACUGAAGGUCCUUCUGGUUUCCCUGCUGUUCCUCAAAGGGCUUUGCAUGUCUUGCUCUGCUUUCUUGCUCAUUUCUACACAAAGGAGGAGGUUACCAGGGUUCUUUAGGAGAAACAGAUGUGGCAGAGUCAUAGAGUGGAGGUCACAAUAUUCCUCCUGCCCUUUCUGCAUCCUCUUGUGAGCAGCCCACCAGUCUCUCCUUCCUACCAUCCAAACUGUCCCAAUCCCCUCCUCUGCAGAAAAGCCUCCCAGUAUUGACACAGCAGAGUGGAUGGUUCUUUGUACCUACUUCAUAACGACCAUAAGCCCUCAACCAACAGUGUACCUGCUCUUACCCUACCUGUCAUUGUGUGUACUUGGGUGGAAGUUCAGUAUUACACAAUGUUGUCUGGGUAGCAGUUGUCUUUGUUGUGACUCUUUGAGAUCUUUAGAUUAGAGUGUUGCAGUUUUGGCACUAUUGACAUUUGGGCUGGGAAUUCUUUGUCGUGGGAGACUGGUGCAUUGCAGGAUGCCAAACAGCUUCCCUGGCUCUACUCUCCAGAUGCCAGUAGCACCCCUUUCCCCAGCUGUGACAAUCAAAAUGUCUCCAGACAUUGCCAACUGUUUCCCCUGGUGGCAGAGGAAUCAGCCCCAAUUAAUAAUGGUUGCUUAGCUGGGUGCAGUGGCUCACGCCUGUAAUCCCAGCACUUUAGGGGGCUGAGGCAGGCAGAUCACUUGAGGCCAGGGGUUGAAGACCAGCGUGGGCAUGGUGAAACCUAGUCUCUACAAAAAAUAACAAAAACUAGCCGGGUGUGGUAGCAGGUGCCUGUAGUCUCAGCUACUUGGAAAACUGAGGUGAGAGGAUGGCUUGAAGUCGGGAGGUCGAGGCUGUAGUGAGCUGAGAUGGCGCCGCUGCACUCCAGCCUGGGUGACAGAGUGACACCCUGUGUAAAAAAUAAAAACCAACCAACCAAACAAAAGAACUAUUGCUUAAAACAUUGAACACAGGAUCCCCGGCAUAUGGCUUUUGCUCUGGAAUUGAUGUCUAGGAGGAUAGAGAGCAAAAUUUAGUCAGAAAAUCGGUGGCCUCGAGGUCAGAAGACCUAGGUUCAAGCUCUAGUUCCAUCACUUCCGUCUUGCGUGAUUUUGAGCAAAUCAUAUAGCUUUUCUGAGCUUCAGUUUCCCUAUACGUAUAUUGGGGAAUAAUAAAUGAGGAGAGGGAUUUUCAUUUGUUUUGUUCACUGCAGUACCCCCAAUACCUAGAAUAGCACAGGGCACAUAGGAAGUACUCUAUACAGAUGGGUUGACUGAAGAACUCUAUCUCCGCUCCGCCUCCCCCACACCCAGGGCUUCUGCAGGGUUCAAAUGAAAAAGUCUAAGAACUUCCAUGACUGAGGGGUCACAGGAAAUAUUGCACCCCAUUCAAACUCAGAAAACAACAGCCACUAGCUGACAUUUUCUAAAUUAAUUUUAUAAAUCAUAAAGAUUCGUAAUAGCCAAAAACUGGGAACAAACCAAAUGUCUUUCAAUGGUAAAUGGUUAAACUGUAGUGCAUCUAUACCAUGGAAUACUACACAGGAAAAAAAAAACCCAAAUCAGCCGGGCAGGGUGGCUCAUGCCUGUAAUCCCAACGUUUGGGGAGAUGGAGGAUGGGGUGGAUGACUUGAGGUCAGGAGUUCAAGACCAGCCUGGCCAACAUGGCAAAACCCCAUCUCUACUAAAAAUACAAAAAAAUUAGCUGGGAGUGGUGGUGCACACCUGUAAUCCCAGCUUCUUGAGAGGCUGAGGCUUGAGAAUCACUUGAGCCUGGGAGGUGGAGGUUGCAGUAAGCCGAGAUCGUGACGCUCCACUCCAGCCUGGGCAACAGAGGAAGACUCUGUCUCAAAAAAUAAAACAAAACAAAACCCCCAAAUCAUUGACAUACGCAACAACCUGGAUGGAUUUGAAGGGAAUUAUGCUAAGUAAAAAAACACCAAUCUCAAAAGGUUAUAUACUCUAUGAUUCCAUUUAUGUAAUAUUCUUGGAAUAAAUUAUAUAGAUGAAGAACAUUGCCAGGGGUUGGGGAUGAAGGUGGCCACAGUGGGGUCACCUGAGGAAGCUCAUGUUGAUGGAACAGUUCUAUAUUUUUUGAAAAUGUCUUAUUUUUAAUUUUAUGGUUAUAUAAUAGGUGUAUAUAUUUAUGGGGUACAUGAGAUAUGUUGAUACAUGCAUACAAUGUGUAAUAAUCACAUGGUAAAUGGGGUCUCCACCUCAAGCAUGUAUCAUUUCUUUGUGUUAUGAACAUUCUAAUUCUAAUCUUUUAGUUAUUUUAAAAUGUACUAUAAAUUAUUGUUGACUGUAGUCACCCUGUUGUGCUAUCAAAUACUAGAUCUUAUUCAUUCAUUCAUCUUAAUCAUUCUAACUAUAUUUUUGUACCCAUUACCCACCCCACUUCCCCUUCACUCCCCAUUACCCAGCCCAGUCUCUGGUAACCAUCAUUCUGCUCUCUGUCUCUAUGAGUUCAAUUGUUUUAAUUUUUAGCUCCCACAAAUGAGUGAGAACAGGUGAAGUUUGUCUUUCUGUGCCUCACUUAUUUCACUUAACAUAAUGACUUCCAGUUCCAUCCAAAAACAGGCAAAGGCCAGGAUCUCAUCCUCUUUUAUGGCUGAGUAGUACUCCAUUGUGUAUAUGUACCACAUUUUCUUUAUCCAUUAAUCUGUUGAUGGACACUUAGGUUGAUUCUAAAUCUUGGCUAUUGUGAAUAGUGCCUCAAAAAACAAGGGAGUGCGGAUAUCUCUUUAAUCUACUGAUUUCCUUUCUUUUGUGUAUAUACCUAGGAGUGGAAUUGCUGGAUCAUGUGGUAGCUCUAAUUUUAGUUUUUUGAGGAACCUGCAAACUGUUCUCCAUUGUGGCUAUACUAAUUUACAUUCCUACCAACAGUGUAUGAGGGUUCCCUUUUCUCCAUAUUCUCCAUAUUCUCUCCUUAGUUUUGUGUUGUUUUUUUGGGCAGAUGGGGACAGAGUCCUGCUCUAUCCCCCAGGCUGGAGUGCAGUGGUGCAAUCUCGGCUCACUGCAACCUCUGCCUCCCGGAUUCAAGUGAUUCUCAUGCCUCAGCCUCCCGAGUAGCUGGGAUUACAGGCGCCUGCCACCAUGCCCAGCUAAUUUUUGUAUUUUUAGUAGAGACAGGGUUUUGCCAUGUUGGCCAGGCUGGUCUUGAAUUCCUGAACUCAAGUGGUCCUCCCACCUUGGUCUCCCAAAAUGCUGGGAUUACAGGCGUGAGCCACCACACCUGGCCCAGUUCUGUGUUUUGAUUGUGAUGCUGGUUACACAAACCUACACAAAUGAUAAAACUGUAUAGAAUCUCACACACACACAGGAAUGUGAUCUGCAGAAAUGAUAAAACCGCAUAGCAUCACACACACGUGAAUAUAGGUGAAGCAUGAAACCAAUGUUAUAGAAUAAGCUCUGUGGAUUAUACCAAUGUCAGUUUCCUGGCUGUGAUAUUGCACUAUAGCUAUACAAGAUGUUACCACUGGGGGAGGCUGGGUGAAGGGCACAGAAGAUCUCCCUAUAUAACUUUUUCAGUUUCCUUUGCAUCUGUAAUUACUUUAAAAUAAAGACUUUUAACCCACAUAAUAAAUCAUACAUAGGGAGAUGGGCAAAAAAUUAUCAAAAGCAUGUGCAGUGUUGAAAAAGUUAAAUUCCCCAAAUUACCAGAGGACGUUUGAGACUCAGACCACAAAUCAAGCUGGCAGGAAAUAGAACUAGUUUUCCAUGACUCAGUCUAAUUUAUCUUACAAGCCUCCAUUCUGCCAGGUGGCGGAAAUAUUCCCCUCCUCCUUUGGCUGGAAUGGCAUCUAAGUUCCGAGGGCCUUAUGCAGUGCCAAAGGCCCCCCCAGGGGGACACCUGGUCCCUGUUCCCAGGCUGGCUGUCAGCCUUCGGUCUGUGUAAGCCCCUGCCAAGCUGUCCUUCACCCCAAACCCAACACCAUGCUGUGCUCGACGGAAACCUGGCAGGAAGACAAGCCACUACCUGGUGUCCUGCAGUUCAAAUGCAGUCCUCGUGUGUUUUGUUCGGCCCAUAGAGUAUUUUAAAUCACUACUUGCCAAUAUUUGAAAUGGGGCAUUUUCACAUACGAGUGUAGAUAUCUGGGCUAGUCCUCUUUGCACACGUCCCCUGGGGCAGCAAUCGGCUGGACCUCACUGUGUGGCAGCUGCCCCUUGAACCUGGGCUUGCCUCCUUGUGGGUUCAUCACGGUCCCCACCAUUUCUGACCCCUUCAUUUGGCUGGAUUCACUCUUUUUUUGUUAUGUUUUGAGAUGGAGUCUCACUCUGUCGCCCAGGCUGGAGUGCAGUGGCACGAUCUCGGCUCACUGCAACCACUGUUUCCCAGGUUCAGCGAUUCUCCUGCUGAAGCCUCCUGAGUAGCUGGGACUACAGGCACGCGCCAUCACACCCAGCUAAUUUUUGUAUUAUUAGUAGAGAUGGGGUUUCACCAUGUUGGUCAGGCUUGUCUCGAACUCCUGACCUUGUGAUCCGCCAGGCUCGGCCUCCCAAAGUACUGGGAUUACAGGCGUGAGCCAUCACACCCGGCCUGGAUUCACUCUUUUACAAAACCUACCUGGCAACAUGGAAGCUCGAGGUGGCAGCCCUCACUCUUCCUCACUUCUGUCCCAUUUUGGGGUCGCUGGGGAUCAUUUUUCUCCUCCUGCUCCUUGCUGGGGUACAGAAAAACUUUGCCGUGCUAUCUCAGACCCACCUGCCGAGGGAUGGCCCUUCCAUCUAGGGUCUUGCUGCCUCCUAUGCCCACCCCGGGCUCCACACAGGAAUGGGUCACCGUGGGACACGGCCCAGGGACCUCGUUCUCGGUUUGCCUUGCUUGCUUUCAGACCUCAUCCUCCUGCUAUGGGAACUUUUAUUUGAUCUCAAGAGGCUGAAGCCUUGCCGGUCCGGCGUCUGUGUCCCCUUCCCCGCAGUGCCACAUCUGUUCUAUCGUCUACCUACACCAGUCCUUUCUGUUUCUCCUCCUCUUCUCGACUGUUGAAAAUCAAAAACCAGGACUCUCUGUUUCCCUUUUCCUGCUGUUCACCCCUUCCUGGAGGCAGUAAGCUAACAGCUGCCUGAAUUUUAGGAUGUUGGGGCAAUAGAGAAAACUGGGAAUGAAAAACGCAUUGAUGAAUUCAAAUAUAUCACCCUCAUCGUCUUUCUUCCCACGCCAGACACUGCACUAAGCACUUACACCCAUUCUGUCCCAUUUCCACGUCAAAGAGGAAAUGGGGCUCAGGGAGAUUCGCUGUUGGCCCGAAGUUGACAGCUAGUGAGGGGGCAGAGCUGGUACUUGAACCUGGAGCCUAUCCUCUUCACCACUCACUUGCCACAAAGGCGUGGCUUUGUUUCACAGCCCCCCUUCUUGCUUCCCACACUCCAGGUCCCUGUGCAUCUCCACAGGGCAGGGACCGGUGGGAAUCCUUACCUAGGUGACAGUGAAAGGCUGCUGGUCGAGCUUUUCCUAAAGUCUACCUCUGAGGGUGGCUCACUCAUCCCCAGCUGAUUGGGGUGGAUAGGGUUCCAGUUACUGACACUGUGAAAUAGCCUGACCCUUGACAGCCCUCCCUCAACCCCAGCAGGAGAGUCCAGCCAGCCGGAGCAGAUAGAUCAGCUCCCCGGAGAAGGGCAGGGUUCAAAAUGGAAGGACAAGACCAGAGGCUGAGUCACAGCCUUGGAAAAUCUAGUUACAGGGUCGGGGGAGAGGCUGGCGGCCGUCAGUUUGUAAAUCGGCAGUCCUCCCUGCAACCUGGACAAAGCCAUUUCUCGGAAAAUCCAAUUAGAAUUCAGAGCCUUGAGGGCCAGCCUGGAUUUUCUGCUGCUCAGCAACCUGCAGAGCCUGGCCCAGCUGGCCCUUGGGCCGUCCCACAUCAGAGGGCCCUGAUAGCAACAGAUGAACUUGUUAGUGGGCCCCCUGACAGCGGCUGUCGCUUUGUACUCGGCAGGAAGGCAUUCCUUUGUCACCCCUGGUAGGCAGGAACACCUGAUAAGCCAUCUGUCUGGCCAGACCUCUGUGCGCCAGCGGGCUUUGCUUGGAGGCUGGUAUUCCAGGCCCUGUGCAGUCUGCGGGGCUGGGAUCAGUGGCUGAGUCAGUGCAGCCCCAGGCACAGACUGACACACUCUGAUGUUUUCAGGUUCUCUUAUGGGUGAUAUUGUUGGACACUUGCACCUGGGACUGAUUUGGAUGGCGCUAUUGACCUACUGACCCUUUAUUUGACCAGAAAGGAGAAUGGUUUUUUGUUUUGUUUUGUUUUGGUUUUGGUUUUGGUUUUUUUUUUUUUUGUUUUUUUUUUUUUUUUUUUUUUUGAGAUGGAGUCUUUCUGUCACCUAGGUUGGAGUGCAGUGGUACAACCUCGGCUCACUGCAACCUUUGCCUCCUGGAUUCAAGCAAUUCUCCUGCCUCAGCUUCCCAAGUAGCUGGGAUUACAGGCAUGUACCACCACACCCAGCUAAUUUUUAUAUUUUUAGUAGAGACAAGGUUCCAUCAUAUUGGCCAGGCUGGUCUCGAACUCCUGAGCUCAGGUGAUCCACCCACCUCGGCCUCCCAAAGUGCUGGGAUUACAGGCAUGAGCCACAGUGCCCAGCCAGAAUUUUUUUUUUUUUAAUUCAAUGUAAUUCAAAGUUUAAAAAUUUGCACUAAUUGGGAUUAUGAUAUUGUCCUGUUAGAAGCGUCACUGUUUAUUUCACCUUAUAUCACCUUUUAGCUAAUACUGGUCACCACCGAUAGUGCUGGUACUUAGAUUUUGAGUCCUGCAUAUAUGAGGUAGCCCAGCUUGGUGCUGAAGUGCACGGUCCUGUGGCUCAGCUGCCUGGGUUCACAUCCCAGCUCUGCUGGUUGCUGACCAUGGGCCCUUGGGUGAGUUAGUUAACCUUUUGGAGCCUCAACUUCCUCAUCUGUAAAAUGGGUUAGUAAUAGUCCUGACCAAGUAGACGUCUGUGAAAUGUAGAAAGCAAUGCUUGGCUCAUGAAAAGUUGCUCUCUAAAAAGAAGCUUUCGGCUGGGCAGAGUGGCUCACGCCUGUAAUCCCAGCACUUUGGGAGGCCGAGGUGGGUGAAUCAGUUGAAGUCAGGAGUUCGAGACCAGCUGGCCAACAUGGUGAACCCUGUCUCUACCAAAAAUACAAAAAUUAGCCGGGCGUGGUGGCGGGUGCCUGUAAUCCCAGCUAUUUGUCUCUACUAAAAAUACAAAAAUUAGCUGGGCGUGGUGGUGGGCACCUGUAAUCCCAGUCACUUGGGAGGCUGAGGCAGGAGAAUCAUUUGAACCCGGGAGACAGAGGUUGCAGUGAGCCAAGAUCACGCCACUGCACUCCAGCCUCGGCGACAGAACAAGACUCUAUGUCAAAUAAAUAAAUAGGUAGGUAGGUAGGUAGGUAGAUAGAUAGAUAGACAGACAGAUAGAUGGAAGCUUUUAUUGUUGUUAUUGGAGAAAAGCUCCUAACGUAAGCGAGACUGUUCUGAGUCAGGGAGAGGUUGGAGUGGUGAGGUUGCUGCUCUUGAGUGAGGGAUUGGGUUGUUGGUCUCAGCAGACCUGUGGUUUGAAUGGCAAGGACACAGUCCUGGUAGUUGAACUAGACUCUCCGCUGUCUCUGCAGAUGCUGGAGAACCAACCAUGGAGGCUCUGUGGGAUUCACCCAGAGAGGCGUAAAGGCCAAGAGGAGAGCACCAGGCUGAGAUUUCCUCUCCAUCCCUCCUUGGAUUAUGAACUGUGGGAGGAGAUGGGCAAAGGAUGAAGGAGGAGGCUACUUAGAGGCCUUGGCUCUCAGGAAGGGGGUGGGAAGAUGGGGAGAGGUAGAAGAUGAGUGGGGAGCCCAAGCAGCUCUGCCCUGUGUCCUCCUGGCUGCUGGGGCCCCAGUCGCUCAGGAGGAGGAAGCCACGGCCAGACGUGCUGAGUUAAUGACCUUGUGGGCUGCCAGGGGAGGUGGGAGCCGCCACCCAGUCUCGUGGAAAUUCCCUGAUGACGGGUGGCUGAGAACCUCUGUGCACUGGAACCACCCUCUGGUUCUAGGCCUUUUUCUUAUUUUUUGUUUCUUCUUUUUCUUGAUGCAUAAUUUAUGUUCAGUGAGGUGCAAAAUUCUCAGGAGGCUGGCUUGAUCAAUUUUUUUUUUUUUUUGAGAUGGAGUUUUGCUCUUGUUGCCCAGGCUAGACUGUAAUGGCGCAAUCUCGGCUCACUGCAACCUCUGCCUUCCAGGUUCAAGCGAUUCUUCUGCCUCAGCCUUCUGAGUAGCUGGAAUUACAGGCAUGUGCCACCAAGCCUGCCUAAUUUUUGUAUUUUUAGUAGAGACAGGGUUUCACCAUGUUGGCCAGGCUGCUCUGGAACCCCUGACCCCAGGUGAUCCACCCACCUUGGCCUCCCAAAGUGCUGGGAUUACAGGCGUGAGCCACCAUGCCCAGCCAAUGAAUUUUUACAUAUGUAUAUACUCAUAUAGCCACUGCCUGGAUCAAAAUCAAGAACAUUCCCUGACCCAAAGAAGGUUCCCCUUGUAUCCUCUUCCAGUCAAAACCCCUAAAAAUAACCUCAGCUUGAACCUUCAUCACCAUAAAUUAAUUUUGCCUAUUUUUGAACUUCAAAUAAACAGAAAUCAUGCAGUAUGUAUUCUUUUGUGUCUAGCUUCUUUCAUCAUCAUUGAGUCUGGGAGAUCCAGCCAGGAUGUUGUGUAUAGCUGUAUUCUUCUUCUUCGUUGCUGUGUAAUACUCCAUUGUAUGAAUAUACCAUAAUUUAUAUUUUCAUUCUCCCAUUGAUGAGCUUUAGGGUUGUUUCUAGUUUGGGGCUAUUAUGAAUAAAACAGCUAUGAUCAUUUGUGCGCAUGGCUUUGGCACCCAGGAGCAUUCAUUUCUGCCAGGCAUGCACACAGGAGUGUUUCCAAGCCUUGUAGUCAUUCUACUUGAAAAUGCUCCAAGAUAAGGCAAAAGGGACCUAGUGUGUGUCCCUCACCUCCCCACCCCAUACCCACUCUAGACCAGGCUCUGGGCUCCAGGCAUGGGAGCUGAGAGGCAGAAAGAAGAGAGAGGGCACCACGCCGCAGCAGCCACAUUCAGAAGAAGAUGUAAAAACCCCUCUUGCCAGGUGGGUGUGGUGGCUCAUGCCAGUAAUUCCAACACUUUGGGAGGCCAAGGUGGCUGGGUCACCUGAGGUCAGGAGUUCAAGACCAGUCUGGCCAACAUGGAGAAACCCCGUCUCCACCAAAAAUACAAAAAUCAGCUGGGCGCAGUGGCAGGCGCCUGUAAUCCCAGCUACUUGGGAGGCUGAGGCAGGAGAAUCACUUGAACCUGGGAGGCGGAGGUUGCAGUGAGCCGAGAUUGCCCCGUUGCACUCCAGCCUGGGUGACACAGUGAGACUCUGUCUUAAAAACAAACAAACAAAUAAACAAACCCUCUUGCCAACAGCACUUCCGCUUUUAAAAAGGUCAUCUGGUCUUUUGCUGGAAAUGUGUGCAUGAGAGGUUUUCUGAGCCUUGGGAGAAGGUUCCCUUCCCGAUGGUGCCUGUUGACCUGAGAUGAUCUAGUCUAAUCUUCCCAUUUUACAGGUAGGAACUGGUGUCCAGGGAAGGGAAGUGAUGCUUCCAAAGCCACACAGCUGGUAAAUGACAGGGUCAGGAACACCAAGUGCCUUAGCUUCCAGUGGCUUUGUGUGGGGAAAAGAAAGAGAGAUCAGAUUGUUACUGGGUCUGUGUAGAAAGAAGUAGACAUAGGAGACUCCAUUUUGUUCUGUACUAAGAGAAAUUCUUCUGCCUUCAGAUGCUGUUAAUCUGUAACCUUACCCCCAACCCUGUGCUCCCUGAAACAUGUGCUGUGUCCACUCAGGGUUAAAUGGAUUAAGGGCUGUGCAAGGUGUGCUUUGUUAAACAGAUGCUUGAAGGCAGCAUGCUUGUUAAGAGUCAUCACCACUCCCUAAUCUCAGGUACCCAGGGACACAAAACACUGCGGAAGGCCGCAGGGACCUCUGCCUAGGAAAGCCAGGUAUUGUCCAAGGUUUCUCCCCAUGUGAUAGUCUGAAAUAUGGCCUUGUGGGAAGGGAAAGACCUGACCGUCCCCCAGCCCGACACCCAUAAAGGGUCUGUGCUGAGGCGGAUUAGUAAAAGAGGAAGGAACGCUUCUUUGCAGUUGAGACAAGAGGAAGGCAUCUGUCCCUGGGCGAUGGAAUGUCUCAGUAUAAAACCCGAUUGUAUGUUCCAUCUACUGAGAUAGGGAAAAACCGCCUUAGGGCUGGAGGUGGGACAGGCGGGCAGCAAUACUGCUCUUCAAGGCAUUGAGAUGUUUAUGUGUAUGCAUAUCUAAAGCACAGCACUUAAUUCUUUACCUUGUCUAUGAUGCAGAGAACUUUGUUCACGUGUUUACCUGCUGACCUUCUCUCCGCUAUUAUCCUAUGACCCUGCCACAUCCCCCUCUCUGAGAAACACCCAAGAAUGAUGAAUAAAUACUAAGGGAACUCAGAGGCCGGCGGGGAUCCUCUGUCUGCUGAACGCCGGUCCCCUGGGCCCCCUUUUCUCUUUCUCUAUACUUUGUCUCUGUGUCUCUUUCUUUUCCAAGUCUCUCGUUCCACCUAACGAGAAACACCCACAGGUGUGGAGGGGCAACCCACCCCUUCAGCUUUGUCUGUAAAUUGGGAGGAACAAUUAGAUGCAUUGAUCUUCCCCAGAGAUAAUUGGGCUACCUUGGAGCCAUUGUCAUCAAUGUUUAGGGUUUUCUAGUAACCAUUCUUCCAUGGUUUUUGGAUGCAAGCUUUUAUUUUUUAAAUUUAUUCUUUUUUCAACUUUUAGAUUCAGCAGGUACAUGUGCAGGUUUGUUACAAAGGUAUAUUGCGUGACGCUGAGGUUUGGGGUUUGAUGGAACCCGUCACCCAGGUAGUGAGCGUGGUACCUAACAGAUCGGUUUCAACCCCUGCUCCCGUCUCUCUCUCCUCCCUCAUAGCCUCCAGUGUCUGUUGUUUCCAUCUUUAUGUCCAUGUGUAGAUGCCAGAUGUCACAUUUACUCUAUUCAACAUUCAAGAGACCAUUUUGAGGCCGGGCGCAGUGGCUCACGCCUGUAAUCCCAGCACUUUGGGAGGCCAAGGUGGGUGGGCAGAUCACUUGAGGUCAGGAGUUCAAGACCAGUCUGGCCAACAUGGUGAAACACUGUGUCUACUAAAAAUACAAAAAAUUAGCCAGGUGUGGUGGCAGGCGCCUGUAAUCCUAGCUACUCGGGAGGCUGAGGCAGGAGAAUCACUUAAACCCAGGAAGCAGAGGCUGCAGCGAGCUGAGAUUGUACCACUGCACUCCAGCCUGGGGGACAGAGCAAGACUCCAUCUCAAAAAAAAAAAAAGUCAAUGUCCUUAUGGUAAUCUAUAAUGCCCUACUGAUGCCCUCUGCCUGCCUCACUUCUCUGACCUCAGCUCCUACCCCCCUCCCACUCACCUCACUCCAGCCAAAAGGUCCUCCUCAAUGUUCUUCAGCCCGGACCCCAGUGCCUCUGACCCCAGGGCCUUUGCAUUUGCUGUUCCCUCUGCCCAGAAUAGGAUAUCAAACAGUGUCAUCUUAGACGAGAUCUCUCUCCAGCUCUUGGCUUCACCUCUUCUGUACUGUCUUAUUCUUAGGCAGCCUCUCUUUUUCAUUGUGGUGCCUCUGGCUCCUCCAGGCUGUCAUCCUCCAAGGGGAAAAGAGAGUAUUUCUCUUGGCCAAUAGUUCAAUAUAAGUCCUGGAAUGGAAUCGUAUUGGCUCUGAUGAGGUCACAUGCUCAUUGCUGACCCAAUCUCCAGGGACAGGCAGGAGAAUGGAACACGAAGCUCCCAUGCUUCACUGAAACCACAGGGUUCCACGUGGAAUACGGGGAGGGAACAGGUGGGCUGAACUUGCAGCUAUGAUCCAAUACUAAUGGUGACAAUAAAAAUGAUAACAACAAUAAUAGUAGUGGCAGCCAGCAUUAACACAGUGCUUGCUCUGGUCUCAGCAGCAGGAAGGCGGGAAAACAUCUGAGACCUGGGCCAGAUGCACCUGUCAAGGUGUCUUAGGAAACUCUUACCUUGGGUGUGCAGUUGGGCUGAGAAAGCAGUGAUAUCCAAUCUUGUCCACAUGUUAGCAGCUUCUUUUAAAGAAUAACUGUGGGACCCACCUCAAACCAAUUGAAUAGGAACCUUCUGGGGUGGAAAGGAACUCUAACAUUAGGGUUUUUAAACUCUCCAGGUACUUCAAACAUGCCUUGGCUCUGUAUAUUAGUCCGUUCUCACGUGGCUAUAAGGAC
rnacentral:lncRNA from 1 species